GAGGGAGUGGGCUUAUUUUCUUCUGCUCUUCUACCAUGUGAGGACCCAGCUUUCAAUCCUCUUUGUCCUUCCCUCUCUUCUGCCAUGUGAGGACAGAGCAUUCAUUUCUUCUGGAGGAUGCAGCAAGAAGGCAUCAUCUUGGAAGCAGAGAAUAGCCCUCAUCAGACACCAAACUUGCUGGAGCCUUGAUCUUGGACUUUACAUUCUCCAGAACAGUGAGCAAUAAAUUUUUAGUGUUUAUAAACUACCCAGUCUCAGGCAUUUUGUUAUAGCAGCUCAGACUAAGACAGACUAAGACAAUAUACAAUGCCUUAGUUUAAUACUUUAAUACUUUCAUGAAUAACAAUAGUAAAUAAAUGAAUACAAUUAUUUAAAUUAUGAGAUUGUUCAUUGUCUCAUUGUCUAGUCCUUACCUGUAUCUGUCUCUCUCCACAUUCUGAAAUCGACCUUGUGAUUUUUGCAUAAUUGUGUUAUACAUAACUGUAUACCCAGAUGUCCCUCAAUUUCAUAUAUAUGUUUACAAAAUAGACAUUUUAUCUUGCUCUUCUCUUUCCUUUUUAUUUGAUACUUUUCUUAUCUAUUAUUGGUUUAGCUAUUCCUAGUGGCCUAAAGAUGUAAUUUUAUUGCAAACAUCUGAACAACUCAAUAUAUUCUUCACACUCCCUGCUUACUUUAAAGCUUUAGUAUUUACACAGUUGGGGAUAUAUCUAUAUAGAAAUACUUAUCAGUGAAGUAAACCUUUUUUCCCUGAUGUUUCAUCUUAAUGGUAAAAUCAUCCUCCUGUUGCCAUUACACUCUUCAACUUAUGUAUAAGAAUUCUGUUAACUCUAAGCAGCAUGUUUAAAGUAGGUUAGUUCAAAGUUGUGAGAUGGUUGCACAUUUUCAGUAGGUCUAAAAAUUAAGUUCCACAUUGAAUUGUUUUAAAGCACUAUGGCAAACAUUAAAGUGUUUAAUUCAUUAUUGAAACACUUUCAUUACAGCAACAACAGUUUAACAUCCUGCAGUGGUAAUUCUAAAUGAAAAAUUAA
rnacentral:lncRNA from 10 species